rnacentral:misc_RNA from 1 species
UCCGGUUUGUCACCGGCAGUCUCCUUAAAGUUCCCGGCAUGACCCGCUGGCAAAUAAGGAUAAGGGUUGCGCUCGUUACGGGACUUAACCCAACAUCUCACGACACGAGCUGACGACAGCCAUGCAGCACCUGUCUCAGAGUUCCCGAAGGCACGAAGCUAUCUCUAGCGACUUCUCUGGAUGUCAAGACCUGGUAAGGUUCUUCGCGUUGCGUCGAAUUAAACCACAUGCUCCACCGCUUGUGCGGGCCCCCGUCAAUUCAUUUGAGUUUUAAUCUUGCGACCGUACUCCCCAGGCGGUCAACUUAUCGCGUUAGCUGCGCCACCAAGCACACUAAGGUGCCCAACGGCUAGUUGACAUCGUUUACGGCGUGGACUAC